CCUACGGGAGGCAGCAGUGGGGAAUAUUGCACAAUGGGGGAAACCCUGAUGCAGCGACGCCGCGUGAGUGAAGAAGUAAUUCGUUAUGUAAAGCUCUAUCAGCAGGGAAGAAAAUGACGGUACCUGACUAAGAAGCCCCGGCUAACUACGUGCCAGCAGCCGCGGUAAUACGUAGGGGGCAAGCGUUAUCCGGAUUUACUGGGUGUAAAGGGAGCGUAGACGGCUGUGCAAGUCUGAAGUGAAAGGCCGGGGCUCAACCCGCGUACUGCUCUGGAAACUGUACUGCUUGAGUGCAGGAGAGGUAAGUGGAAUUCCUAGUGUAGCGGUGAAAUGCGUAGAUAUUAGGAGGAACACCAGUGGCGAAGGCGGCUUACUGGACUGUAACUGACGUUGAGGCUCGAAAGCGUGGGGAGCAAACAGGAUUAGAUACCCUUGUAGUC
rnacentral:rRNA from 1 species